rnacentral:tRNA from 1 species
GGGGCUGUAGCUUAAUGGUAAAGCGCUUCUCUCUUUAAGAGAAGAGAUGAUGGUUCGAUUCCGUCCUGCUCCA